CCCUUAGAUGUUCUGGGCCGCACGCGUGCUACACUGAGUGGGUCAGCGGGUCAGGUUGCGCGAAAGCGUUUCCUAAUCUUGAAAUCCGCUCGUGAUGGGGAUUGACGGUUGCAAUUUUCUGUCAUGAACGAGGAAUACCUUGUAAGCGCGGGUCAUCAUCCCGCGCUGAAUACGUCCCUGCCCUUUGUACACACCGCCCGUCGCUCCUACCGAUUGAGUGGUCCGGUGAGGCUUUGGGAUCUGAGCGGAAAGAGCGUUUCGCUCGUUCUGCCCGGAAAACUCAGUCGAACCUUAUCAUUUAGAGGAAGGAGAAGUCGUAACA
rnacentral:rRNA from 1 species